rfam:Myotis brandtii contig150932, whole genome shotgun sequence.
GGCACUCGGGCUUUGGCGGGACAUAUGCUAAAAUUGGAAUGGUACAGAGAAGAUUAGCAUGGCCCCUGUGCAAGGAUGACAUGCAAAUUCCCACUAUAUUUUAUAUUUGU